UUAUUAUGAUGAUAUUCCGCUUGAAGGUCCGUGUUUCUGAAACAUCUAUGAUUUUUGUGGAACUUCUGAUUCU